rnacentral:rRNA from 1 species
CCUACGGGGGGCAGCAGUGAGGAAUAUUGGUCAAUGGUCGGGAGACUGAACCAGCCAAGCCGCGUGAGGGAUGAAGGUACAGAGUAUCGUAAACCUCUUUUGCACGGGGAUAACACCCUCCACUUGUGGAGGUCUGCAGGUACCGUGCGAAUAAGGGCCGGCUAAUUCCGUGCCAGCAGCCGCGGUAAUACGUAGGUGGCAAGCGUUGUCCGGAUUUACUGGGUGUAAAGGGCGUGCAGCCGGAGAGACAAGUCAGAUGUGAAAUCCACGGGCUCAACCCGUGAACUGCAGUUGAAACUGGUUCCCUUGAGUGUCGGAGAGGUGAUCGGAAUUCCUAGUGUAGCGGUGAAAUGCGUAGAUAUUAGGAAGAACACCAGUGGCGAAGGCGGAUUACUGGACGGUAACUGACGGUGAGGCGCGAAAGCGUGGGGAGCAAACAGGAUUAGAUACCCGGGUAGUC